UGGAUUUUCGGAUCGGAAAGCUGCCGGAAUUCGAGUUCCCGUUCUAACGGCAGUUCCUGUAUGUAUCCGAUACUGCGACUCAGCGCGUCCACAUGCUGCAUCUGUUUACCAGCACGGUUUCUCUUCCUCCACGCACAGAGGUAAAUUUGGAAGUAAAUUUUCCGACGUUUUUGACUCAACAUUAUUUACAUUCCUUCCGGUGUAACAUAAGACAACUUAUUUCUAAUUCUACCGGCGCUAUACCAACGACGUUCAGAGGGAUGUUUUUAAUAUUCACAAAAGCCCUUUUCGACGGUACAAGAUUUUUAACAAAAGUCUCUAUUGCAGAUCUUCUCUACCUUCACCGAUGAUUCGGGAAACUCUACCUUGGUGACCUUUUCAUCCACCAGGGCUACCAGUUCGGGUUCCGGAUCCACCUCAGUGACUGGCACUGCCGUUGAGACUGGCUUCUGGUGCUGGAGUGACGAAGAUUUUCCUCCCUUCGCCUUGAGCGACGGGCAGUCGUAUUGGCGAUGCCCUUUCUGUUUGCAGUAAAAGCAGAAAACACUCUAGCGAAUUGUCCGCUAUUAAUAAGGCUGAAGCCUUCACGGUAUUGUUCAUUAUGCCACUAAUUAACAAGUGGAUAGUGUCUUUCUCCGGCAAAUCAAGUUGGUGGAUAAGAGCAGAUUUUUCAAUCACAUAUUCGUCAAAAGUUUCUUUCGAAGAUUUGAGUCCAACCCACGACAAAACGGCUGCUCCAGACUGAGCCUCGUACCAAGUUUUGGCAAACUUGACGAGCUUACUUGAUGCCGCCACUAGAGUAACUCCAUCCGACGCUCCAUGAACUCCGGCUACCUGGUCUACUCGUCUCACCCAAAAGGUUAUGCUCUCUUUAUCGGUG